UACAGAGGUCCCAAGCGUUGUUCGGAUUCACUGGGCGUAAAGGGUGCGUAGGCGGUCAGGUAAGUCUGAUGUGAAAUCUCUGGGCUUAACCCAGAAAUGGCAUUGGAUACUAUUUGGCUUGAGAGUUGGAGGGGGGACUGGAAUUCUUGGUGUAGCAGUGAAAUGCGUAGAUAUCAAGAGGAACACCAGUGGCGAAGGCGAGUCCCUGGACAACUUCUGACGCUGAGGCACGAAAGCCAGGGGAGCAAACGGG
rnacentral:rRNA from 1 species